rnacentral:rRNA from 1 species
CCUACGGGUGGCAGCAGUGAGGAAUAUUGGUCAAUGGGCGCGAGUCUGAACCAGCCAAGUCGCGUGAAGGAUGACUGCCCUACGGGUUGUAAACUUCUUUUAUAAAGGAAUAAAGUGAGGUACGCGUGCCUUUUUGUAUGUACUUUAUGAAUAAGGAUCGGCUAACUCCGUGCCAGCAGCCGCGGUAAUACGGAGGAUCCGAGCGUUAUCCGGAUUUAUUGGGUUUAAAGGGAGCGUAGAUGGGUUGUUAAGUCAGUGGUGAAAGUUUGCGGCUCAACUGUAAAAUUGCAAUUGAUACUGGCAGUCUAGAGUACAGUUGAGGUAGGCGGAAUUCGUGGUGUAGCGGUGAAAUGCUUAGAGAUCACGAAGAACACCGAUUGCGAAGGCAGCUUACUAAGCUGCCACUGACAUUGAUGCUCGAAAGUGUGGGUAGCAAACAGGAUUAGAUACCCUAGUAGUC